UACGUAGGGGGCAAGCGUUUGUCCGGAAUCAUUGGGCGUAAAGAGCGUGUAGGCGGCCCGAUAAGUCCGCUGUGAAAGUCCAGGGCUCAACCCUGGGAUGCCGGUGGAUACUGUCGGGCUCGAGUCCGGAAGAGGCGAGUGGAAUUCCUGGUGUAGCGGUGGAAUGCGCAGAUAUCAGGAGGAACACCAAUAGCGAAGGCAGCUCACUGGCCCGGUACUGACGCUGAGAUACGAAAGCGUGGGGAGCAAACAGG
rnacentral:rRNA from 1 species